rnacentral:rRNA from 1 species
GAUGAACGCUAGCUACAGGCUUAACACAUGCAAGUCGAGAGGUAACGAGAGGAAAGCUUGCUUUCCUUGUCGACGACCGGCGCACGGGUGAGUAACGCGUAUCCAACCUGCCCCCAACUAGGGAAUAACCUUGCGAAAGUAAGACUAAUACCCUAUAAUUUCCUCAGAUGUCAUCUGACGAGGAAUAAAGAUUUAUCGGUUGUGGAUGGGGAUGCGUCUGAUUAGCUUGUUGGCGGGGUAACGGCCCACCAAGGCAACGAUCAGUAGGGGUUCUGAGAGGAAGGUCCCCCACAUUGGAACUGAGACACGGUCCAAACUCCUACGGGAGGCAGCAGUGAGGAAUAUUGGUCAAUGGGCGGAAGCCUGAACCAGCCAAGUAGCGUGCAGGAUGACGGCCCUAUGGGUUGUAAACUGCUUUUAUACAGGAAUAUAGUUAGCCACGUGUGGUUAUUUGUAGGUACUGUAUGAAUAAGGACCGGCUAAUUCCGUGCCAGCCGCCGCAGUAA